rnacentral:rRNA from 1 species
UGGGGAAUAUUGCACAAUGGGCGAAAGCCUGAUGCAGCAACGCCGCGUGAGUGAUGAAGGUCUUCGGAUUGUAAAGCUCUGUCUUUUGGGACGAUAAUGACGGUACCAAAGGAGGAAGCCACGGCUAACUACGUGCCAGCAGCCGCGGUAAUACGUAGGUGGCGAGCGUUGUCCGGAUUUACUGGGCGUAAAGGGUGCGUAGGCGGAUGUUUAAGUGAGAUGUGAAAUACCCGGGCUUAACUUGGGUGCUGCAUUUCAAACUGGAUAUCUAGAGUGCAGGAGAGGAGAAUGGAAUUCCUAGUGUAGCGGUGAAAUGCGUAGAGAUUAGGAAGAACACCAGUGGCGAAGGCGAUUCUCUGGACUGUAACUGACGCUGGAGCACGAAGCGUGGGUAGCAAACAGGAUUAGA